CCUACGGGGGGCAGCAGUGAGGAAUAUUGGUCAAUGGGCGGAAGCCUGAACCAGCCAAGUCGCGUGAGGGAUUAAGGCCCUGCGGGUUGUAAACCUCUUUUGCCGGGGAGCAGUGGUCCGGACGCGUCCGGACCGCGAGAGUACCUGGAGAAAAAGCAUCGGCUAACUCCGUGCCAGCAGCCGCGGUAAUACGGAGGAUGCGAGCGUUAUCCGGAUUUAUUGGGUUUAAAGGGUGCGUAGGCGGGCUUUUAAGCCGGCGGUAAAAUGUCGGGGCUCAACCCCGGCCUGCCAUCGGAACUGGGGGCCUUGAGUGGGCGAGAGGUAUGCGGAAUGCGUGGUGUAGCGGUGAAAUGCAUAGAUAUCACGCAGAACCCCGAUUGCGAAGGCAGCAUACCGGCGCCCUACUGACGCUGAGGCACGAAAGUGCGGGUAUCGAACAGGAUUAGAUACCCCAGUAGUC
rnacentral:rRNA from 1 species